rnacentral:lncRNA from 1 species
GCGGGUUAUUGGAGGUUAUUACCUAUUAUGCGUUGGUUAAAGUCUGUUUGGGCUAAAAAUCAUUUUCGUUGUCUUGCCAGAAGUUUCAGAAAUUCCUAGAGAACAGCCGGUCUGGAGCAUUGGCAAAAGAAUUGAUCACCUAGGGCAUCACGAUUGUAAGACCAGCACUGCUAGAGAAAAGAAAGUUUGCAACGGCUUGAAAAUAGUGAAUACACGCGAGUCUUGCUUUUGAUAGUGUUGUUCGGGAGGGGCUUGAACUGUUAGCUUCGGUCUAAGGACAUAUAUGUGCAGCUGUGCUUCCUCGCUUAAGAUUUUACCGGUUUGAUAGCUAAAACACGUAAAGUUUGAUAUAAUAAACGAGUAAGGAAUACCAUUAUUUGGCGAGGAUCCGAGUAUUUUA